AGGGAAUCUUGCGCAAUGGGCGAAAGCCUGACGCAGCGACGCCGCGUGAGUGAUGAAGGCCUUCGGGUUGUAAAGCUCUGUGGGGAGAGAAGAAUAAGUGCAGGCUAAUACUCUGCGCGAUGACGGUAUCUCCUUAGCAAGCACCGGCUAACUCUGUGCCAGCAGCCGCGGUAAGACAGAGGGUGCAAACGUUGUUCGGAAUCACUGGGCGUAAAGCGCGUGUAGGCGGCUUCUCAAGUCGGGUGUGAAAUCCCAGGGCUCAACCCUGGAAGUGCAUUCGAAACUGGGUCGCUAGAGUACUGGAGAGGAAGGUGGAAUGCUUGGUGUAGAGGUGAAAUUCGUAGAUAUCAAGCGGAACACCGGUGGCGAAGGCGGCCUUCUGGACAGAUACUGACGCUGAGACGCGAAAGCGUGGGGAGCAAAC
rnacentral:rRNA from 1 species